UCAAGUUUAUUGUAGCCAUCUGUAAAACUUCCUUCUAGUUUUUCUAAAAUCUCUAUUUUAGCCCUCUUACACUUUCUAUAACUGACAUUUGUAUUAAACACAUUUUUUAUAUCUGUUCUCAUCUCUUUAAUCUUAUACAUAGGGUUAUCUUGCAACUUUUUCUUGAAAUAAAGUGCAUAUUUUUCAAGCUUUGCUCGAGGCUCUUCAUUCUUUUUGCCAUUUCAUCUUGUUUAAGAGCUUUGGGAUUCUGGUCUUGCCCAGAUUAAUCUC
rnacentral:lncRNA from 1 species